rnacentral:lncRNA from 1 species
AAAUUAGUGAAAUAAAAUGUGAAAAAUUAAAAACCAGAUGAAGAAAAAUAAAAGAGAAUUUUAGAAAUUAUUUUGGGAUUUUUUGGAUGUAAAAUGAAUUUUCUAUGAAUUUUAAAAGAAAAAGAAAUUAAAAAGAAUAAAAAAUCAGAAAAACAUGGAGCGUUGGAUCACGUCUCAUUAAUUGACGUUCCAGAUCCAACAUUGCUCAAAUUAGGGCGCAAGAUGGAAUACA